rnacentral:rRNA from 1 species
AUAACAAUUGGAAACGAAUGCUAAUACCCAUAUGCUUACUUAGUGAAAUGAUUUUAUCCGCCGAAAGAGAAGCUCGCGGCUGAUUAGCUUGUUGGUAAGGUAAGAGCUUACCAAGGCGACGAUCAGUAUCUGGUUUGAGAGGACGAUCAGACACACUGGAACUGAGACACGGUCCAGACUCCUACGGGAGGCAGCAGUGGGGNAUUUUCCGCAAUGGGCGNAAGCCUGACGGAGCAAUACCGCGUGAGGGAAGACUGCCUAUGGGUUGUAAACCUCUUUUUUCAGGGAGGAAUUAAUGACGUGUACCUGAAGNAUAAG